rnacentral:tRNA from 1 species
GGAGAGAUGGCUCAGUGGUUAAGAGCACUGACUGCUCUUCCAGAGGUCCUGAGUUCAAUUCCCAGCAACCACA